rnacentral:rRNA from 1 species
CCAUGNGUAGCGGUGAAAUGCGUAGAUAUAUGGAGGAACACCAGUGGCGAAAGCGGCUCUCUGNUCUGUCACUGACGCUGAGGCUCGAAAGCGUGGGUAGCGAACAGGAUUAGAUACCCUGGUAGUNCACGCCGUAAACGAUGAGUGCUAGGUGUUAGGCCCUUUCCGGGGCUUAGUGCCGGAGCUAACGCAAUAAGCACUCCGCCUGGGGAGUACGACCGCAAGGUUGAAACUCAAAGGAAUUGACGGGGGCCCGCACAAGCGGUGGAGCAUGUGGUUUAAUUCGAAGCAACGCGAAGAACCUUACCAGGUCUUGACAUCCCGAUGCUAUUCUUAGAGAUAGGAAGUUACUUCGGUACAUCGGAGACAGGUGGUGCAUGGUUGUCGUCAGCUCGUGUCGUGAGAUGUUGGGUUAAGUCCCGCAACGAGCGCAACCCUUAUUGUUAGUUGCCAUCAUUAAGUUGGGCACUCUAGCGAGACUGCCGGUAAUAAACCGGAGGAAGGUGGGGAUGACGUCAAAUCAUCAGGCCCCUUAUGACCUGGGCUACACACGUGCUACAAUGGUCGGUACAACGAGUUGCGAGCCGGUGACGGCAAGCUAAUCUCUGAAAGCCGAUCUCAGUUCGGAUUGGAGGCUGCAACUCGCCUCCAUGAAGUCGGAAUCGCUAGUAAUCGCGGAUCAGCACGCCGCGGUGAAUACGUUCCCGGGCCUUGUACACACCGCCCGUCACACCACGAGAGUUUGUAACACCUGAAGUCGGUGAGG